rnacentral:lncRNA from 1 species
CUACCUGUGCUUGUAUGUUUGUUUGACUUGCUUCCUGUGCAAGUUAGGUUUAGUUUAGACUAAUCCUUGUUUGCUUUCGCCCUCGUUGCGAUCCUUUCUUUCGCCCUCGUUGCGAUCCUUUCUCUCGCCCUCGUUGCGAUCGAGCCUUUUCCUUUCUCUCGCCCUCGUUACGAUCGAGCCUUUUCCUUUCUCUCGCCCUCGUUGCGAUCGAG